GUUGACCGUUCUGUUUCUUCCGGUCGGUGUUUGUGAUCCUGAAGCGCCAUAGUGAGAACGGGAGCUGCUGUGCGAGCGCAUGAGCUGUUAAGUGCAAGGCACGGAUGUCGUAUUUCAGUGUUAUGAUCCUGAAGCGCUAAAGCAAGGAAGUUAGCUUCCAAUUUGAAAGAGCUUGUGGGCUGUGGCUAAGUGCAAACAACGAGCUGCAUUACGUAGCAUUUUGACUGACUGAGUACGACGCGAUUUAGGUGCAGAGCUUUCAUUCCCUUUGCGGAUUAUCGUAGAGAUUUUCCAUUGUGGAACUUUGUACACAUGGACCUCUGAUUCUUAGGCCCUGCUGUUUUGCUCAGGAUUAAAUUGUGUUAUUUAGGUUGAUUAUAUAUUGAUUGUUUUGGAAAUUACUCAUUCUAUUAAUUUAUUAUUUUGAUUUUGUUUUGUAUUUAUUGUACCAACCGCCAAGACCUCAAGCACUGUGACUCGGGGAGAAUUUAAUCCAUUUUUCUGUGUUUUAGGAGCCAGCCUGCGUGGAGUUCUUUCUCUUUGGGGUCAUCUGGGUUUUCCCCACUGCCUGUGGUAUGAGGUGUUCUGCACUGCAUGGAUAUUGAGUUUAGUGUGUAGAAUUAUUUGCAUUGUUCACUGCACUUUUAUUUAAACGUGUGAUUUGCAUCACGUGUGUGUGCUCGAGGCGGUGGGUUCCUGUCCCUUGAUGCCCUUUUCUCCUUCGCGCAGGCCUGGUUAACCUGGAACUAUAACUGGUGGGUUAUAUUUUAAUAUUUGAACUGAC